rnacentral:lncRNA from 1 species
CUUUGAUUCUCCAGUGGACUCAGACGAGAUCAGAGAAAGUUGUUGGCAGCUCCCGAGUAUUCUCACACUAAAUGAGCAGUAUAGAGAUGCCUACAAAAAGACUAAUUUCCCAGUAAUCCAACUUAUUCCAAACACUCCACCCACAAAGCAGCAAGUGAGGGAAAAAAUAGAAUUCUGCUUGAAGAUGCUUUUCAGUCAACUCUCUCUAGCUCAUAAAUCAGCGCUUCUCCAAGAGUGUUAUGAACCCUGCACCCUCCUUGUCAAUGCUGAUUUCUGCACCCAUCUCCCAGGUUGAAGUUUGCUUUUAUUCAACUGUUUUCACUGACGAGAUAUGCAUCAUGGCUUCUCUGGUGACGAUCCCUUCUUACGCAGAUCGCGGGCUUUCUGCAGGAAGUACUUCCAGUUGUUUGAGGAGGGCAUCAAGGUACUAAUUCCGGGCCACCAAGACUGAACGCCUAAACGAGGCAACAGAGCUCAUAAAAUGAUGGCAACUUCGUGACUGUUGGCUUGCAGGCUCAGAGUGGUUUUUCUUUAGUGUGGGUAGAAGGAAGUAUUGAUUAUUAGGUUUCAGUUUCUUCCAUUUAAGGAAAAAUGGAAAGGGAUGUGAAGUAACUCACAAGUAUUGAGAGUGUACACGAAUGAUG